rnacentral:rRNA from 1 species
AUGAACGCUAGCGGCAGGCUUAACACAUGCAAGUCGAGGGGCAGCAUAAUGAAACAGCAAUGUGGAUUUGAUGGCGACCGGCGCACGGGUGCGUAACGCGUAUGCAACCUACCCAUAACAGGGGGAUAACACUGAGAAAUUGGUACUAAUACCCCAUAAUACUUUGGAAGGCAUCUUUUGGAGUUGAAAGUUCAGGCGGUUAUGGAUGGGCAUGCGUUGUAUUAGCUAGAUGGUGGGGUAACGGCUCACCAUGGCUACGAUACAUAGGGGGACUGAGAGGUUAACCCCCCACACUGGUACUGAGACACGGACCAGACUCCUACGGGAGGCAGCAGUGAGGAAUAUUGGUCAAUGGACGCAAGUCUGAACCAGCCAUGCCGCGUGCAGGAUGACGGCUCUAUGAGUUGUAAACUGCUUUUGUACAAGGGUAAACCCUGGGACGUGUCCCAGGCUGAAAGUACUGUACGAAUAAGGAUCGGCUAACUCCGUG